GCGGUGGUAGCUCAAUGGUAGAGCGUCUCCCUUCCAAGGAGAAGGUUGCGAGUUCGAGCCUCGUCCGCCGCU
rnacentral:tRNA from 1 species